rnacentral:rRNA from 1 species
GUUAAGUUGCAGGGUAUAGACCCGAAACCCGGUGAUCUAGCCAUGGGCAGGUUGAAGGUUGGGUAACACUAACUGGAGGACCGAACCGACUAAUGUUGAAAAAUUAGCGGAUGACCUGUGGCUGGGGGUGAAAGGCCAAUCAAACCGGGAGAUAGCUGGUUCUCCCCGAAAGCUAUUUAGGUAGCGCCUCGUGAAUUCAUCUCCGGGGGUAGAGCACUGUUUCGGCUAGGGGGCCAUCCCGGCUUACCAACCCGAUGCAAACUGCGAAUACCGGAGAAUGUUAUCACGGGAGACACACGGCGGGUGCUAACGUCCGUCGUGAAGAGGGAAACAACCCAGACCGCCAGCUAAGGUCCCAAAGUCAUGGUUAAGUGGGAAACGAUGUGGGAAGGCCCAGACAGCCAGGAUGUUGGCUUAGAAGCAGCCAUCAUUUAAAGAAAGCGUAAUAGCUCACUGGUCGAGUCGGCCUGCGCGGAAGAUGUAACGGGGCUAAACCAUGCACCGAAGCUGCGGCAGCGACACUGUGUGUUGUUGGGUAGGGGAGCGUUCUGUAAGCCUGCGAAGGUGGCCUGUG